AAACAAAGAAAGAAAGAAAGAAAGAAAGAUUGAUUCCAAACCACGAGCCAGAAACCCUUACCCAGUAGGCCAGAUCUGGCCUGUAACCAUUUUUAUAAAUUUGUAGUGGCAUACACUUUUAUUUGGUUAUGUGUUUCUGGGUUUAUUCUGUAAUGGAAGUCUUUAUUACCUCCUUAGUGCUGCCUCGGAUUUGCUACAACACCAAAGGGAUUUUCCUGGAUAUUUUCUCCCUUUAACAGUUAACCCAAGAGUAGUUAUAAUGAGGACUAUAUGAACUGUAGUACUUAAAAUAUUUAGUCUCUAGCCCAAUAUAGAAGGAGGAAGGGGAAAAGGAGGAAGGAGAAAUGCUUAUUUUUUUUGUCUGUUCAACCAGAUUCCUGCCAACAUUGGCAUCCUACAGUACAUAUUCUAAAUAGCAAGAAUCUCAAUUGUAGCUAGGAUAUAGGUGUUUGCAGGUAAGUAACCAGUUUAGAACCCUUCUUCUCCCACAACUGAAAUAUUCCAUGCACCCUUAGACAGUUGUUUUGCAACCUACAUCAUUCCGACAAAUGUGCCAAAUACCAAAUUGCUGUAAGGAGUUCCAAGGGAACAGUUUGCAAACAAGGCUGGCUUUCUGGUCUGUGGCUCAUGAAAAUGUAUGAUGUGAUUCACUCUCAGGUAGGUAUGCACUGUGCUGGCUCCUGAUUCCAGCUUCAGAAACCAAAAUAUUCCUUAGUGCAGCUGGCUUUGGGAGUAGAGUGAGUAUGCUUUGCCAAACAGAUGAAGAAACCCUGACAUUUUGUUUAUUUUACUUUCUGGAAAGGCUCAGUCAAAGGAGAAGGGUCUCCAAAUUUUCUAAGCUAGGGUCUAAAUGUCUGUCUUUACACACACAAACACACACACACACACACACACACACACACACACACACACUCAUGUAAAGAAUAUAUAUCUUAUUUCAUGGAUGCUGCUUGCACGCCCGUGGAGAACAAUUACUUCAGCUUUCCUCACAGAGUGCUUGGAGCAGCUCAAUAUUCAGAAGGCUGCUUAGUUUUGGCAAGUCAGUCUUUAUUACCUCCUUAGUGCUGCCUCAGAUUUGCUACAACACCAAAGGGAUUUUCCUGGAUAUUUUCUCCCUUCAACAGUUAACCCAAGAUAUGUAACAGUGAGCCACCAUUGUAGUUUUGACAGAAGAGAAUUCAUUUAGAGAAAAAUGUCAAGAACAUAAAAAACUCAAUUACUAAGUGAUUACACACCUGAACCUUCAUAGUCUCAAAGAAAUCCUACAUUACACGAGAGAACAUUCUUUUUCAACAUGUGUAUGUGUUUCUGAAAAGGUUUACACAUUCUGACAGUGACAUUACAUAAUUAUUGAUACUUAGCAAUGAAUAAUUUCACACAAAAUGUAAGCGUAAUAACAAUAAUAAAGAAAAUAGACCGUACUGUAAUUUUCUAAUGGUUUAACAAGAACGUGAUACUGGUUGGUGUUGGGAGAUGCUCAUGAGUUGCUUAUGAAAGCCAGCUUCCUGUUUUCAUUACCUUGGUUGUUAGAGACACUGAACAAUAGAAACAUUGUAAUAAAUUGGAACUAAAAUCUUAAAUGUCCUUCACAUUUUCAGGUUUCAAAUGCAUGGGGCUCCAACUUUUGGCACUAUCUUAGUGGCUGUGGAGUAUUUAGGAGAAUGAGGUUAGGAGAUAUAAGUCACUAGGGUGAACCUUUGAAGACCAUAGCUGUUCCUGGUACUGGUACUUCCCUAAGGCUGAGUUCCUGAUUGGCUGUCAUAACUUUAUAUCAGACCUGUUCUCCACCAUGUCUUCCUUGCCAUAAUAGAUGCAAAUAUCUCUGAAACCAUGAGCCAAAAUAAAUUUUACUACUUUU
rnacentral:lncRNA from 1 species